rnacentral:rRNA from 1 species
GGAGUCUAGCAUGUGCGCGAGUCAUUGGGACCGCAAUAAACCUAAAGGCGAAAUGAAAGUGAAGGUCCGCCUCGCGCGGACCGAGGGAGGAUGGGUCGGCCCUCGGGUCGGCCCCGCACUCCCGGGGCGUCUCGUUCUCAUCGCGAGAAGAGGCGCACCUAGAGCGUACACGCUGGGACCCGAAAGAUGGUGAACUAUGCCUGGUCAGGACGAAGUCAGGGGAAACCCUGAUGGAGGUCCGUAGCGAUUCUGACGUGCAAAUCGAUCGUCGGAACUGGGUAUAGGGGCGAAAGACUAAUCGAACCAUCUAGUAGCUGGUUCCCUCCGAAGUUUCCCUCAGGAUAGCUGGCGCUCGCCGCGAGCGAGUCUCAUUCGGUAAAGCGAAUGAUUAGAGGCAUUGGGGUCGAAACGGCCUCAACCUAUUCUCAAACUUUAAAUGGGUGAGAUCUCCGGCUUGCUUGAACUGUGAAGCCGCGAGAUUCGGAUCAGAGUGCCAAGUGGGCCACUUUUGGUAAGCAGAACUGGCGCUGUGGGAUGAACCAAACGUCGAGUUAAAGCGCCAAAAUCGACGCUUAUGGGAUACCAUGAAAGGCGUUGGUAACUUAAGACAGCAGGACGGUGGCCAU